CUGCGGCGCCGCCCCCCGCCCCGGGCGCUGAAGGCGCGGGGGGCGGGGCCGGCGCGGGGCGGGGCCGGCGCGGGGGGCGGGGCGUCGCGCCGGAGCCAGGGGUCGAGGGGUUGGAAGGCAGCGAGGGAGGCGCGGGGCCGUUCUAGAGCGUUGCGCGGGCGGAGCGGGGCCGGCCCCCGAGCCUCGAGCAUCUAGGGCUUGGCUUUGCCAGCCGAAAGCUUGCUUGGACCCCCCGGGGACCCUAGGACAUCAGAGGCCGGGGCCUGGCACGGGGCAGACAGGAAGCUGGUGCCUGGAAGCUGGCUUCUCUUUCCGCACGACCUUGGGGCGAGGCACCUCCUUCUGCAGCUCCGGGGUUGUAUUUUGAUAACAUUUCCCCGCGGCGGCUGAGCUGCUCAGGAGGCGCGACCACGCUCCGUCCAUCCCAGAGCCGGAGGAGUUACGAUCCGAGAGUCGGAAACCGGGGCCCGAGAGAGGGCGGAGGCGACUGGUUCGAGGCUGCACAGGUGACCCCGCCCUCUGAGGCCGCCGGCAGCCUCAGUUUCCCUGUCCUUGGUGCUGAGGACGCCGGGGCCCAGAGGCUCCCGGCCCACGGGGCCGCCACCGCCGCGCGGAACCCUGACCAAAGAUGUGAAGACUGAGUCCUGCAGAGACUGCCUGCUGCAGCUGAGGUCCCGUGGCUAAGAUGAGAGACAAGGGUAGGCCUGCAUCCUGGCUCCUUUGUUGAAGGGUAUGACUUCCCAGAGGACAGAACACUUCCCUCCCCAGCAGCCAAACUAAGUCCUGAAUGUAGCUCUAAUUAGCUCAUCCUUGGCUUGGCCACUCAGAGCCGACCCUGGCAAGGCCACCAGGCAGAGACUGAAGAAGCUUCGCAGGUCGUGAUGCUAACAUAAUAGGUUUUACACAAAAAAGGACUAAUUCUGCCAUAGAAGUAGGGGAAGCCUCGCCAGGGGCUGUUUGAGCAAGGCUUUGAAAGGUUGAGAAGGCAUUUACUGGGCAGUCCACUUUCCAGAGUGAUCUGUGAGAAUGUGUAAUGAAGAUGUGGUCCAGCAUGCAGUAGGUGCUCAGGAAAAGUACGGGACCUAUCACUGUCCACAGGGAGAACCCCAGAGUGGUAAAUACGGCCAUGACCCUUGAGCUGGUAACCCCAGUCCCAAGACCUUCUCCCAAGAAGUCAUCCAAAGCAAAAAGCCCCAUGCAUCAUACUGAGCACUGUCUCGCCAUCUGUGGUUGGAGAAAGCUGGAAGUAAUGUUCGUCCAGCACCCAGACCAGGCUAUAAAAGAUGCUGGGCCCCAUGUUGGUGUAUCAGACAAGAGUUAAACGUGGCCAGGUUGAAGGUGGUAGGAAGGGUUCAUUUUCCACAUACUUAUUGAGUAACUUCAAUGUGCCAAUCAUUGGCAGUACCGGACAGCGAGGAGAACAGCUCUGCCUGGCUCCGAUUCCAAUCCAGAAUAGCAACACUGUCCACCCCACUGUCACCCAGUCCCUCUCCCCUCAU